rfam:Gallaecimonas xiamenensis 3-C-1 contig11, whole genome shotgun sequence.
UUGCAUGGCUGAAUUAGUGAUCGGCCAUGCGUUUAUCAACUAGGAGUACAUCAUGUCACUAAGCGUUGAAGCGAAAGCUCAAAUCGUUGCUGAACACGGCCGUGGCCAG